GAUGAACGCUGGCGGCGUGCCUAAUACAUGCAAGUCGAGCGAACGGACGAGAAGCUUGCUUCUCUGAUGUUAGCGGCGGACGGGUGAGUAACACGUGGAUAACCUACCUAUAAGACUGGGAUAACUUCGGGAAACCGGAGCUAAUACCGGAUAAUAUUUUGAACCGCAUGGUUCAAAAGUGAAAGACGGUCUUGCUGUCACUUAUAGAUGGAUCCGCGCUGCAUUAGCUAGUUGGUAAGGUAACGGCUUACCAAGGCAACGAUGCAUAGCCGACCUGAGAGGGUGAUCGGCCACCCGGGAACUGAGACACGGUCCAGACUCCUACGGGAGGCAGCAGUAGGGAAUCUUCCGCAAUGGGCGAAAGCCUGACGGAGCAACGCCGCGUGAGUGAUGAAGGUCUUCGGACCGUAAAACUCUGUUAUUAGGGAAGAACAUAUGUGUAAGUAACUGUGCACAUCUUGACGGUACCUAAUCAGAAAGCCACGGCUAACUACGU
rnacentral:rRNA from 1 species